UACGUAGGGGGCAAGCGUUGUCCGGAUUUAUUGGGCGUAAAGAGCGUGUAGGCGGCCUGACAGGUCUGCUGUGAAAACUCGAGGCUCAACCUCGAGAUGUCGGCGGAAACCGUCUGGCUAGAGUCCGGAAGAGGAGAGUGGAAUUCCUGGUGUAGCGGUGAAAUGCGCAGAUAUCGGGAAGAACACCCGUGGCGAAGGCGGCUCUCUGGGACGGUACUGACGCUGAGACGCGAAGGCCAGGGGAGCAAACGGG
rnacentral:rRNA from 1 species